GGCGGCGCGCUUAACACAUGCAAGUCGAACGGAGCUGAGUCUGACACCGUGUUCACCGUGUAGGCGGACAGGGUGUUGGAUUCAGCUGAGUGGCGGACGGGUGAGUAACGCGUGAGCAACCUGCCCUUCAGAGGGGGAUAACGACUGGAAACGGCCGCUAAUACCGCAUGACACAGAGGCGCGGCAUCGCGCUUUUGUCAAAGGAGAAAUCCGCUGAAGGAUGGGCUCGCGUCCGAUUAGGCAGUUGGUGAGGCAACGGCUCACCAAACCGACGAUCGGUAGCCGGACUGAGAGGUUGGCCGGCCACAUUGGGACUGAGACACGGCCCAGACUCCUACGGGAGGCAGCAGUGGGGAAUAUUGCGCAAUGGGGGAAACCCUGACGCAGCGACGCCGCGUGAGCGAAGAAGGCCUUCGGGUUGUAAAGCUCUGUUGUAAGGGACGAAAGAAUAAGGGAGUAACUGCCCUUAAAGUGACGGUACCUUACCAGCAAGCCCCGGCUAACUACGUG
rnacentral:rRNA from 1 species